GUUGUAUAGUCAAGUAAUUAAGUGCAUGUGGUGGAUGCCUUGGCAGUCAGAGGCGAUGAAAGACGUGAUAGCCUGCGAAAAGCUCCGGGGAGGCGGCAAAUAUCCUUUGAUCCGGAGAUGUCUGAAUGGGGGAACCCACCUACUUUAAGGUAGGUAUUGCAACAUGAAUACAUAGUGUUGCAAGGCGAACGAGGGGAAGUGAAACAUCUCAGUACCCUUAGGAAAAGAAAUCAAUUGAGAUUCCCUCAGUAGCGGCGAGCGAACGGGGAUCAGCCCAUUAAGUUAUGUGUGUUUUAGUGGAACGCUCUGGGAAGUGCGAACGUAGAGGGUGAUAUUCCCGUACACGAAAGGGCACACAUAAUGAUGACGAGUAGGGCGAGGCACGUGAAACCUUGUCUGAAUAUGGGGGGACCAUCCUCCAAGGCUAAAUACUCCUGACUGACCGAUAGUGAACCAGUACCGUGAGGGAAAGGCGAAAAGAACCCCUGUGAGGGGAGUGAAAUAGAUCCUGAAACCGCAUGCAUACAAGCAGUGGGAGCACCUUCGUGGUGUGACUGCGUACCUUUUGUAUAAUGGGUCAGCGACUUAUAUUCAGUAGCAAGGUUAACCGUAUAGGGGAGCCGUAGAGAAAUCGAGUCUUAAUAGGGCGUUUAGUUGCUGGGUAUAGACCCGAAACCAGGCGAUCUAUCCAUGAGCAGGUUGAAGGUUGGGUAACACUAACUGGAGGACCGAACCCACUGUCGUUGAAAAGCCAGGGGAUGACUUGUGGAUAGGGGUGAAAGGCUAAUCAAGCCUGGUGAUAGCUGGUUCUCCCCGAAAGCUAUUUAGGUAGCGCCUCGGACGAAUACCAUAGGGGGUAGAGCACUGUUUCGGCUAGGGGGUCAUCCCGACUUACCAAACCGAUGCAAACUCCGAAUACCUAUGAGUACUAUCCGGGAGACAGACUGCGGGUGCUAACGUCCGUAGUCAAGAGGAAAACAAUCCAGACCGCCAGCUAAGGCCCCAAAAUCAUAGUUAAGUGGGAAACGAUGUGGGAAGGCAUAGACAGCUAGGAGGUUGGCUUANGAAGCAGCCACCCUUUAAAGAAAGCGUAAUAGCUCACUAGUCGAGUCGGCCUGCGCGGAAGAUGUAACGGGGCUAAAACUAUGUGCCGAAGCUGCGGAUUUGACAUUAGUCAAGUGGUAGGGGAGCGUUCUGUAAGCCGAUGAAGGUGUAUUGAGAAGUNNNAUGCUGGAGGUAUCAGAAGUGCGAAUGCUGACGUGAGUAACGACAAAACGGGUGAAAAACCCGUUCGCCGAAAGACCAAGGGUUCCAGUCCAACGUUAAUCGGGGCUGGGUGAGUCGACCCCUAAGGCGAGGCCGAAAGGCGUAGUCGAUGGGAAAAUGGUUAAUAUUCCAUUACUUCUGUGUAAUGCGAUGAGAGGACGGAGAAGGCUAAAUCAGCCUGGCGUUGGUUGUCCAGGUGAAAGGAUGUAGGCAUGUAUCUUAGGCAAAUCCGGGGUACUCUAUGCUGAGAUCUGAUAGCAAGCUGUACUUGUACAGCGAAGUGGUUGAUGCCAUGCUUCCAGGAAAAGUCUCUAAGCUUCAGUUACACAGGAAUCGUACCCGAAACCGACACAGGUGGUCAGGUCGAGUAGACCAAGGCGCUUGAGAGAACUCUGCUGAAGGAACUAGGCAAAAUGGUACCGUAACUUCGGGAGAAGGUACGCUGUUGUUGGUGAUGGAACUCGCUUCCUGAGCUGACGACAGCCGCAGAAACCAGGCCGCUGCAACUGUUUAUUAAAAACAUAGCACUCUGCAAACACGAAAGUGGACGUAUAGGGUGUGAUGCCUGCCCGGUGCUGGAAGGUUAAUUGAUGGGGUUAGCGUAAGCGAAGCUCUUGAUCGAAGCCCCAGUAAACGGCGGCCGUAACUAUAACGGUCCUAAGGUAGCGAAAUUCCUUGUCGGGUAAGUUCCGACCUGCACGAAUGGCAUAAUGAUGGCGGCGCUGUCUCCAGCAGAGGCUCAGUGAAAUCGAAAUCGCUGUGAAGAUGCAGUGUACCCGCGGCUAGACGGAAAGACCCCGUGAACCUUUACUGCAGCUUGACACUGAACUUUGACCUUACUUGUGUAGGAUAGGUGGGAGGCUUUGAAGCUGGAACGCUAGUUCCAGUGGAGCCGUCCUUGAAAUACCACCCUGGUAAUGUUGAGGUUCUAACUCUGUCCCGUGAUCCGGGACGAGGACCGUGUCUGGUGGGUAGUUUGACUGGGGCGGUCUCCUCCUAAAGAGUAACGGAGGAGUACGAAGGUGCGCUCAGCGUGGUCGGAAAUCACGCGUAGAGUAUAAAGGCAAAAGCGCGCUUAACUGCGAGACCCACAAGUCGAGCAGGUACGAAAGUAGGUCUUAGUGAUCCGGUGGUUCUGUAUGGAAGGGCCAUCGCUCAACGGAUAAAAGGUACUCUGGGGAUAACAGGCUGAUACCGCCCAAGAGUUCAUAUCGACGGCGGUGUUUGGCACCUCGAUGUCGGCUCAUCUCAUCCUGGGGCUGAAGCAGGUCCCAAGGGUAUGGCUGUUCGCCAUUUAAAGAGGUACGCGAGCUGGGUUUAGAACGUCGUGAGACAGUUCGGUCCCUAUCUACCGUGGGCGCUGGAAAUUUGAGAGGAUCUGCUCCUAGUACGAGAGGACCAGAGUGGACGAACCUCUGGUGUACCGGUUGUGACGCCAGUCGCAUCGCCGGGUAGCUAUGUUCGGAAGGGAUAACCGCUGAAAGCAUCUAAGCGGGAAGCCUACCUCAAGAUAAGAUUUCCCUAGGACUUUAUGUCCUCUAAAGAGCCGUUCGAGACUAGGACGUUGAUAGGUUGGAUGUGGAAGCAUAGUGAUAUGUGAAGCUGACCAAUACUAAUUGCUCGUGAGGCUUGACUAUACAACACCCAAGCAGUUG
rnacentral:rRNA from 1 species